rnacentral:rRNA from 1 species
AGCUAGUUGGUGAGGUAAUGGCUCACCAAGGCGACGAUCGUAACUGGUCUGAGAGGAUGCAGUCACACUGGAACUGAGACACGGUCCAGACUCCUACGGGAGGCAGCAGUGGGGAAUAUUGGACAAUGGGCGAAAGCCUGAUCCAGCCAUGCCGCGUGUGUGAAGAAGGUCUUCGGAUUGUAAAGCACUUUAAGGGGAGGAAGGGCAGUUACCUAAUACGUGAGUGUUUUGACGUUACCGACAGAAUAAGCCCGGCUAACUCUGUGCCAGCAGCCGCGGUUACAGAGGGUGCAAGCGUUAAUCGGAAUUACUGGGCGUAAAGCGCGCGUAGGUGGUUUGUUAAGUUGGAUGUGAAAGCCCCGGGCUCAACCUGGGAACUGCAUUCAAAACUGGCUAGCUAGAGUAUGGUAGAGGGUGGUGGAAUUUCCUGUGUAGCGGUGAAAUGCGUAGAUAUAAGGAACACCAGUGGCGAAGGCGACCACCUGGACUGAUACUGACACUGAGGUGCGAAAGCUGGGGAGCAAACAGGAUUAGAUACCCUGGUAGUCCAGCGUAAACGAUGUCAACUAAACUAGCCGUUGGGAGCCUUGAGCUCUUAGUGGCGCAGCUAACGCAUUAAGUUGACCGCCUGGGGAGUACGGCCGCAAGGUUAAAACUCAAAUGAAUUGACGGGGGCCCGCACAAGCGGUGGAGCAUGUGGUUUAAUUCGAAGCAACGCGAAGAACCUUACCAGGCCUUGACAUCCAAUG